AUUGAACGCUGGCGGCAGGCUUAACACAUGCAAGUCGAGCGGAGAUGAGGUGCUUGCACCUUAUCUUAGCGGCGGACGGGUGAGUAAUGCUUAGGAAUCUGCCUAUUAGUGGGGGACAACAUUCCGAAAGGAAUGCUAAUACCGCAUACGCCCUAUGGGGGAAAGCAGGGGAUCUUCGGACCUUGCGCUAAUAGAUGAGCCUAAGUCGGAUUAGCUAGUUGGUGGGGUAAAGGCCUACCAAGGCGACGAUCUGUAGCGGGUCUGAGAGGAUGAUCCGCCACACUGGGACUGAGACACGGCCCAGACUCCUACGGGAGGCAGCAGUGGGGAAUAUUGGACAAUGGGCGGAAGCCUGAUCCAGCCAUGCCGCGUGUGAAGAAGGCCUUUUGGUUGUAAAGCACUUUAAGCGAGGAGGAGGCUACCUGGAUUAAUACUCUAGGAUAGUGGACGUUACUCGCAGAAUAAGCACCGGCUAACUCUGUGCCAGCCGCCGCGGUAAUAC
rnacentral:rRNA from 1 species